AGGGCAGGAUGCCGGAUAACGUCCGGUGGAGGUGACUCCCAGACCAGUGCAACAGAAAUAAACCGCCGGGAUUUCCCGGUAAGGGUGGAAAGGCAGUGUAAGAGACUACCGCCGUUCUGGUAACAGAGCGGGCACAUGUAAACUCCAUUCGAAGCAAGACCGAAAAGAAAGCGAUACGGCUGCCCGUCGUGCUUUCAGGUGGGUCGCUUGAGCCCUCUGGCAACGAAGGGCCUAGAUAGAUGAUUACCCAAUGACAUAACCCGGCUUAUCGGUCUGAU
rnacentral:RNase_P_RNA from 1 species